rnacentral:rRNA from 1 species
UAUGUGAUCGUCUCUCGCAUAUCAAUAAGCGGAGGAAAAGAAACUAACAAGGAUUCCCUUAGUAACGGCGAGUGAAGCGGGAAGAGCUCAAAUUUGAAAUCUUCAAGGUUUUACCUUGACGAAUUGUAGUUUAAAGAAGUGGUUUCUGUUGAAGUUUUGGUAAAAGUUCUUUGGAAUAGGACAUCAUAGAGGGUGAGAAUCCCGUAUUUGACCAUUAUUUUCAGCUGUGUGAUACACUUUCAAAGAGUCGGAUUGUUUGGGAAUGCAGUCCAAAAUGGGUGGUAAAUUUCAUCUAAAGCUAAAUAUUGGCGAGAGACCGAUAGCGAACAAGUACCGUGAGGGAAAGAUGAAAAGAACUUUGAAAAGAGAGUUAAACAGUACGUGAAAUUGUCAAAAGGGAAGCGUUUGACACCAGUGUUGUUUUCUCGAAAAUCAAUUAAAAAGAGUUGGAUUUUGUGUUGUAUUGACCUUAACAGCUUGCAUUUCACUCUUUCCUAGCUUUUUUUAAUGCACUUUUCGUUUAACAAGUCAACAUCAGUUUCUUUUGUUGUAAAAGGGUCAUUGGAAGGUGGCUUUCUCUUCGGAGAAAGUGUUUAUAGCCUUUGGCCUCUGCAAUCGGAGAGACUUGAGGUCUGCAGCGUAGAUCCUUCGGGGUUAGAUACAUUUGUGCUAAGUUAUAGCCUUUUCAUAGACAACUUGUUGACUAUGAUCAGUCAUGUAGCUUACUCGCUUAUGCUAUUUUACCUACGCUUAGGAUGUUGAGCGCAUGUCUCUCUCU